AUUAGGGCUACCUGUGACUGUGAGUGACGAUUGAAAUUCUUCACGCUAUCCUUCCUUUCUCAAACGAACUCGCGACGACGGUGAAGGCACGGUGGAGGAUCCUUCUUCUCCGAUCAAACACGCAACGUCGUCCGGCCAUUCUACCUCAUUCUCAAUCGCCGAUUAAGAAUUCCGAUAGGUCCUCUCCUCUCUCGCAUCUCCCUCUCGCCAAUCCCUCAAUCUCCAAUCAGACUUCAGGUCGAUUGCUUCGCUUCGUAGGCGAUUUUAUUCUCUAUGUUCACGAUGCGCGAUGAUGAUGAGGUGUGUUGUUGUCGUUUGUUGACGACGACGCGUUGAAACUGCAGAGAACUGAAGGUGAAGGUGAUCUUUCCAAAAACGGUGAGUUUCGCAUUCGCUUCCUCCUCUUAAUCUUUACUUCUGCGCUGCGAUGUUGAGCUCUUGAUGCGGCUUCAAUAGAGGAUCAGGGAAUUCAGAGGUUGCGAUUUUCUGUUGUUCCUGUUGAAGAAGAUAGUGAGAGUCGGAGGAAGAAAAUUUCAGAUUGAAGAUUUUGCAGGAGUUUGAAGAUUGCGGAAUCAGUUCAGGGGUUGAAGAGCUUUGGUGAUGAAGAGAGAAGAAGAUGAUGAAUUUGUGAAGAAGAUGAAGAAGAAGAUGAAUGAAGAGGUUCAGGUUGAAGGGAGAAUGAAGGUUUUAGAGAAGAUUUUCUGGUUUUUUCCUUCUGGUGGAUCGUAUGAAGAUGAAGGAAUUGAAGAGUGAAUUCAAUGGAGAAAGAAUGAAGUUUGUUACAGGUGCUUUGAUGGUUUGUGUAGGUUUUGCAACAGGGAUCAUUGUGAGCAUGCUGAAGUUGUUUAGAGUGGACAUAACUUGUUUAUCAUUUGGAUUGUAUUUGUGAUGGCUGCACUGAUGUUGAACUUGGAGCGUGGAGCUGUACCGGUCGCUUCAAACCAAAUGUAUACGCCGCAUCAUGCGUUUGACCAAAGAUUUACGAGGCUGUGAUGUACGACAACUUUGCACAACAUACUGAAGUUGGAAUGAUGUUACGACGGUUUAUACUUUAUGGAGUAGUUUGGAAUGACACUUGAAAUAGCACAUAGAGCAAAAUGAGGAUGUGAAGAAAUGAAGAGGACUUGGAGAAAGAGACCAAAUGACCUUGAAAAGGAGAGCAUUAGGUCUAGGAAGUCAAUUGAAUUAGUCGAAGAGUCAACAAGUCGACGGUCAACCGUGGCUUUUCUUUUGUAAUUUUCUUUUUGUAUAAUAAUUGAAACUUGCAACAACUUGUAUUCCACGCGGCUUAAACUUUAUAAUUGUGAUGAAUUUGUGACGACGACUUAUGUUCCAAAUAGUAUGAAAUGAAUGGUUUCCCUCUUUUCCUUUUGUAAUUGUGUACUGUGACUUGGUAAUAUAUAUUUCUAUGGAUUGAAUGAACAAAAGCUUGAUCA